AACGAACGCUGGCGGCAGGCUUAACACAUGCAAGUCGAACGCCCCGCCAGGGGAGUGGCAGACGGGUGAGUAACGCGUGGGAAUCUACCCAUCCCUACGGAAUAACGCAUGGGAACGUGUGCUAAUACCGUAUACGCCCUACGGGGGAAAGAUUUAUCGGGGAUGGAUGAGCCCGCGUUGGAUUAGCUAGUUGGUGGGGUAAAGGCCUACCAAGGCGACGAUCCAUAGCUGGUCUGAGAGGAUGAUCAGCCACAUUGGGACUGAGACACGGCCCAAACUCCUACGGGAGGCAGCAGUGGGGAAUAUUGGACAAUGGGCGCAAGCCUGAUCCAGCCAUGCCGCGUGAGUGAUGAAGGCCUUAGGGUUGUAAAGCUCUUUCACCGGAGAAGAUAAUGACGGUAUCCGGAGAAGAAGCCCCGGCUAACUUCGUG
rnacentral:rRNA from 1 species